UACGUAGGGUGCAAGCGUUAAUCGGAAUUACUGGGCGUAAAGCGUGCGCAGGCGGUUAUGUAAGACAGGCGUGAAAUCCCAGGGCUUAACCUUGGAACUGCAUUUGUGACUGCAUAGCUAGAGUACGGUAGAGGGGGAUGGAAUUCCGCGUGUAGCAGUGAAAUGCGUAGAUAUGCGGAGGAACACCGAUGGCGAAGGCAAUCCCCUGGACCUGUACUGACGCUCAUGCACGAAAGCGUGGGGAGCAAACAGG
rnacentral:rRNA from 1 species